GGGCUGAUCCUCUGUGCCCCACAGCUGCCCAGACGGGAAGAUAGCCCCGAGCUGCCUGACCUGUGACAACUUCUGCCUGCACGGCGGGACCUGCUCCAUCGGGGACAAGACGCAGCUGCCGGAGUGCCUGUGUCCCGUGGGGAUGACGGGGACGCGCUGCGAGGAGUUCAUCGUCAGCGAGCAGCAGAGCAGCCGAACAGCCUCCAUCGUCAUCCCCAUCCUGCUGCUCCUCAUCCUCCUCACCGUGGUGGCUUUUGUCUGGUACAAGUGGAGAAUUAAAGGUGCCAAGGGCUUCCAGCACCAGCGGAUGACCAACGGUGCCAUGAAUGUGGAGAUUGGGAAUCCCACCU